rnacentral:lncRNA from 1 species
UUUCAAACCAUUUUUAAUGUUUUACAAAAUGCUCACACUCCAAAUAUGAAAAGCUUUAAUACUCUUAUAACUUCUGCUGCAAUAAAUGCAACAUUAACAUACAAAUUUUUUCGCACCAAUUUUAAAAGUUGAAUUACAUACUAGUUUUUAUGUUAUUCACAUACAUUUUAUUUAUACACUUUUAAGGAGUUCACUGCCAAUACACACUUUAUUUUCCUUAACUUUAUUUUUACAUUAAGUCAGUAUCUGUCAUGCAGCCAUCAAAAACCUUAGAGUAACUUACACAGGUUUAUAGUCCAAUUUUGACUCUAGCUUCUUAGAAUCAGCAACUUUUCUGACUGCUUUCAUGAAGUCUUCCUGAACCACGAAAUCAUGAUCAGCACGAAUUGCAAACAUACCUGUGCAGUGCAAACAUUUCUCAGGUCUGCUCCAUUAAAGCCAUCUGAAAGUUUCACAACUGCUUCAGAAUGUAUUUUUCUAUCUAAUCUUCCUGGAUGUAGCAAUGCAGGAUCCAGUGUAUCUGGUCUGUUUGUAGCCAUGAUCAUUUUAACUCUAUGCAGAGUAUCAAAUCCAUCCAUCUGAUUCAGUAACUCCAUUAAAGUUCUCUGAAUCUCUCUGUCAGCUGAAGUACCCUCAGAAAACCGACGACCACCAAUAGCAUCUAUUUCAUCCAUAAAAAUGAUGCACGGCUGAUGGUCCCUUGCAGAAUUAAACAUUUCUCUAAUCAAACGAGCACUUUCACCAAUGUACUUGUCUACAAUAGAACUAGAUACAACCUUUAAGAAAUUGCAGUCCAGCUGGCUAGCAACAGCUUGUGCCAAGAGUGUUUUUCCUGUGCCUGGUGGUCCAUAUUACAGCCUUUUGGAGGUAUUAUUCCUACUCGCUGGAACAAUUCUGGGUUUGUGGGAGGUAAUUCUAUAACCUCUCUUAAUUCCCGAAUCUGUUCUGAUAGCCCUCCAAUCUCAGAAUAAGAAACCUUCCCAGGGUCCUCAUGAGACAUGUUGUAAACCAAUGGAUCCACCUCUCUUGGCAAAUAUCUCAUGAUAGUGAGUGUAGUCAUAUCUAAAGCAACUCUUGUUCCUGGCUUUAGCUUACUUUUUGUCAAGCUGUCGACGACAAUCCACAAUAUAUCUUGGUCCAUUUGUAGCUUUAACAAUGAAAUUUUCUUCAGUUAAUUGUUUAAGCAUUUCACCCACAAUCUGCCCAACACUUUGUAGGGCCUUCAGAUCAUUUUCAGACUUUUCAUACUGCUUGAUAAGUUCUUUUAAUUGUUCCCUUAACUCCUUCAGACGGCCGUCGGUCUCCUUGUGCUCCAGCAGCUUCUUGCGGUAGUCCUGAAGUGCCUUAUCUCUGGGCUCCACCAUGAUGAGAAGCCGUCACUCAUAGGACCUUGUGCUUUUGAGGCAGGUGCGGUGCCACUGAGCUAAAUCCCGGGCCAUACUUCUUGAUGUGGCUCCUACUUACUUCUCUAGGAUCUCAUUAGUGCUUUCUCUUGGUACAGCUUAGAUUCCAACCACAAUGAACUGCUCAGCAUGGUGGGAUGGUUCCUUUCCCUGACUCUCCUGGUGUACACCUCCUUAGAUUUCAAAUAUUGAGCUCAGAUGCUACUUCCUACACGAAGCCUGCUUUGGUUUCCUCAGGCAAGGUCAGACAUCUGUAAUCCAGCAGCACCUUGGGCUCUGUUCUAGGAGAGAGAAGAGUAUGCAAUAUUGUAUAUUAGGCCAGAGCACUGGGUUUCUGAUUAUACUCUAGCAUUUAAGCCCAGAUUUGCCAUUUUCUUCUUUGGGAGAGUCACAGAGAGGCAUUAGUGUGAACUGUAAA